rnacentral:rRNA from 1 species
GUGACUGCGUACCUUUUGUAUAAUGGGUCAGCGACUUAUAUUCUGUAGCAAGGUUAACCGUAUAGGGGAGCCGGAGGGAAACCGAGUCUUAACCGGGCGUUAAGUUGCAGGGUAUAGACCCGAAACCCGGUGAUCUAGCCAUGGGCAGGUUGAAGGUUGGGUAACACUAACUGGAGGACCGAACCGACUAAUGUUGAAAAAUUAGCGGAUGACCUGUGGCUGGGGGUGAAAGGCCAAUCAAACCGGGAGAUAGCUGGUUCUCCCCGAAAGCUAUUUAGGUAGCGCCUCGUGAAUUCAUCUCCGGGGGUAGAGCACUGUUUCGGCUAGGGGGCCAUCCCGGCUUACCAACCCGAUGCAAACUGCGAAUACCGGAGAAUGUUAUCACGGGAGACACACGGCGGGUGCUAACGUCCGUCGUGAAGAGGGAAACAACCCAGACCGCCAGCUAAGGUCCCAAAGUCAUGGUUAAGUGGGAAACGAUGUGGGAAGGCACAGACAGCCAGGAUGUUGGCUUAGAAGCAGCCAUCAUUUAAAGAAAGCGUAAUAGCUCACUGGUCGAGUCGGCCUGCGCGGAAGAUGUAACGGGGCUAAACCAUGCACCGAAGCUGCGGCAGCGACGUUUAUGCGUUGUUGGGUAGGGGAGCGUUCUGUAAGCCUGCGAAGGUGGCCUGUGAGGGUUGCUGGAGGUAUCAGAAGUGCGAAUGCUGACAUAAGUAACGAUAAAGCGGGUGAAAAGCCCGCUCGCCGGAAGACCAAGGGUUCCUGUCCAACGUUAAUCGGGGCAGGGUGAGUCGACCCCUAAGGCGAGGCCGAAAGGCGUAGUCGAUGGGAAACGGGUUAAUAUUCCCGUACUUGGUGUUACUGCGAAGGGGGGACGGAGAAGGCUAUGUUGGCCGGGCGACGGUUGUCCCGGUUUAAGCGUGUAGGCUGGUUUUCCAGGCAAAUCCGGAAAAUCAAGGCUGAGGCGUGACGACGAGGCACUACGGUGCUGAAGCAACAAAUGCCCUGCUUCCAGGAAAAGCCUCUAAGCAUCAGGUAACAUCAAAUCGUACCCCAAACCGACACAGGUGGUCAGGUAGAGAAUACCAAGGCGCUUGAGAGAACUCGGGUGAAGGAACUAGGCAAAAUGGUGCCGUAACUUCGGGAGAAGGCACGCUGACACGUAGGUGAAGUGAUUUACUCACGGAGCUGAAGUCAGUCGAAGAUACCAGCUGGCUGCAACUGUUUAUUAAAAACACAGCACUGUGCAAACACGAAAGUGGACGUAUACGGUGUGACGCCUGCCCGGUGCCGGAAGGUUAAUUGAUGGGGUCAGCGCAAGCGAAGCUCCUGAUCGAAGCCCCGGUAAACGGCGGCCGUAACUAUAACGGUCCUAAGGUAGCGAAAUUCCUUGUCGGGUAAGUUCCGACCUGCACGAAUGGCGUAAUGAUGGCCAGGCUGUCUCCACCCGAGACUCAGUGAAAUUGAACUCGCUGUGAAGAUGCAGUGUACCCGCGGCAAGACGGAAAGACCCCGUGAACCUUUACUAUAGCUUGACACUGAACAUUGAGCCUUGAUGUGUAGGAUAGGUGGGAGGCUUUGAAGCGUGGACGCCAGUCUGCGUGGAGCCGACCUUGAAAUACCACCCUUUAAUGUUUGAUGUUCUAACGUGGACCCGUAAUCCGGGUUGCGGACAGUGUCUGGUGGGUAGUUUGACUGGGGCGGUCUCCUCCUAAAGAGUAACGGAGGAGCACGAAGGUUGGCUAAUCCUGGUCGGACAUCAGGAGGUUAGUGCAAUGGCAUAAGCCAGCUUGACUGCGAGCGUGACGGCGCGAGCAGGUGCGAAAGCAGGUCAUAGUGAUCCGGUGGUUCUGAAUGGAAGGGCCAUCGCUCAACGGAUAAAAGGUACUCCGGGGAUAACAGGCUGAUACCGCCCAAGAGUUCAUAUCGACGGCGGUGUUUGGCACCUCGAUGUCGGCUCAUCACAUCCUGGGGCUGAAGUAGGUCCCAAGGGUAUGGCUGUUCGCCAUUUAAAGUGGUACGCGAGCUGGGUUUAGAACGUCGUGAGACAGUUCGGUCCCUAUCUGCCGUGGGCGCUGGAGAACUGAGGGGGGCUGCUCCUAGUACGAGAGGACCGGAGUGGACGCAUCACUGGUGUUCGGGUUGUCAUGCCAAUGGCACUGCCCGGUAGCUAAAUGCGGAAGAGAUAAGUGCUGAAAGCAUCUAAGCACGAAACUUGCCCCGAGAUGAGUUCUCCCUGAGACUUAGAGUCUCCUGAAGGAACGUUGAAGACGACGACGUUGAUAGGCCGGGUGUGUAAGCGCAGCGAUGCGUUGAGCUAACCGGUACUAAUGAACCGUGAGGCUUAACCUUACAACGCCGAAG